CCAAUUGGAUUGGCUAGGGCAGGUUUUAAGAGGAGUCAAUUGGAUUGCCCUAGCCAAUCCAAUUGACGCCCCUGUGUAGGUUUUAAGAGGAGUCGCCAAUUCAAUUGGAGACUCCUCCUAAAAUGCAUUUUUUGACUUAUAAAUAGAUGUAUUGUGUGACUAAUUGUUCCACAUCUCAUAUAAUCAUUUGACAAUCAUGUUUGGUGUUCGUCGCCGAUACGGAAAGAUGAUUUAUACGAGAGACAAACCUCAAAUGCUAAUGCUGUUUUGGAACAUCACCACGUUCGAUCAACUGAAGAGGGAGUUGGUUCGUUGGUUAGAUGGGAAAAUACCAGAAGGGGAAAAA
rnacentral:lncRNA from 1 species